AGGCAAACAAUAAGACUUUAGGCAGCUCCACAGUCUGAGUGUCUUAUUCUUAACUGUGACUUGGAAACUAGCACAGUACUUGGCACACUCCAGUACUUAAUAACUAUCUACAGAUCUAAAUAGCAUGGUUUGAAGUCUUUUGAUUAUAGCUGAAAAUCAUGUAUGGGAAUGAAUUUUUAUUUUAAAUAAGUGGUAAAAAUCUUAAAAUGCCAACAUUUAAUGAGUUAGCAUAUAUGCCUGCCUGGGUUGCUCAAGUUAGUUAAUGUUAACCCAAUAUGCCAAGGUUGUAGGUUCUAUUCCCAGUCAGGAAACAUACAAGAAUCAACCAAUGAACACAUAAACUAGUAGAACAGCAAAUUGACAUUU